CGACACCUGCAGGAUUUGAACCAGCGCGGGCAGAGCCAACAGAUUUCAAGUCUGUCGCCUUAACCACUCGGCCAAAGUGCC
rnacentral:tRNA from 1 species